CCUUUGCUGGCUUUGGUGAAGCAAGCUGUCAUGUCGGAGCAGCCCAGGCCCCCCAUCCAACGACCUGAAGGAACUGAGUCCUAUCAGCAACCACGAGAACUGGAGUUGGAUUCUUUCUCAUUCGAGCCUCAGAUGAGACUGUGGUCCCAGCUGAUGUUUCGUGUCUUUGUGAGAUCCUGAAAUCAAAAGCUCCCAGCUAAGACAUGUCCCUACUCCUGAUCUACAGAAACUAUGAGAUAGGGCUUGAAGUAAGUCUGAGAACCACUGUCUCAAAGUCUCCAUUAUUGGACCCCACUGUGCCUUCAUUUUUCCCAUGUCUAAGCUCUGUCCUGGGUUUAGGAAUCCAAGCGGAGAUUUGGCAUGGACAAGAGUUGGACUUCGAAGGACUAAGAUGUCGAAGGCGCCAAGGCGUGAGCUGAAGUGGGACCUUGGCGCGGGAGAGGCUGCCAAAAGAAGGGCGAGCUACAGCUGUGACUGAGGGAACCGCUGGUCAGGCCUCCAAGGGAAACCAGGCAGGCUGCCCUCUUCGCAGCUCUGGGGCAAUGGCAUUCAUUCCAAAGUCAGGCUCACCUACAUUCUGGGAAUUAACCCUCUUCCCCUUUCUGGCUAUACCACGUUUCAAACCCUUAAGGGUUAAAGCCGCUCCCACGUGAUUUUCCCAUCGCCCAGGUAACUUGGGUCGCUGCUUUGUGCGAAAAAACAUGGGA